rnacentral:rRNA from 1 species
GCGAACGCUGGCGGUAGGCCUAACCCAUGCAAGUCGAACGGCAGCACAGUAAGAGCUUGCUCUUACGGGUGGCGAGUGGCGGACGGGUGAGGAAUACAUCGGAAUCUACUUUUUCGUGGGGGAUAACGUAGGGAAACUUACGCUAAUACCGCAUACGACCUACGGGUGAAAGCAGGGGAUCUUCGGACCUUGCGCGAUUGAAUGAGCCGAUGUCGGAUUAGCUAGUUGGCGGGGUAAAGGCCCACCAAGGCGACGAUCCGUAGCUGGUCUGAGAGGAUGAUCAGCCACACUGGAACUGAGACACGGUCCAGACUCCUACGGGAGGCAGCAGUGGGGAAUAUUGGACAAUGGGCGCAAGCCUGAUCCAGCCAUACCGCGUGGGUGAAGAAGGCCUUCGGGUUGUAAAGCCCUUUUGUUGGGAAAGAAAAGCAGCAGGUUAAUACCCCGCUGUUCUGACGGUACCCAAAGAAUAAGCACCGGCUAACUUCGUG